rnacentral:rRNA from 1 species
GACGAACGCUGGCGGCGUGCUUAACACAUGCAAGUCGAACGGAAAGGCCCUGCUUUUGUGGGGUGCUCGAGUGGCGAACGGGUGAGUAACACGUGAGUAACCUGCCCUUGACUUUGGGAUAACUUCAGGAAACUGGGGCUAAUACCGGAUAGGAGCUCCUGCUGCAUGGUGGGGGUUGGAAAGUUUCGGCGGUUGGGGAUGUACUCGCGGCUUAUCAGCUUGUUGGUGGGGUAGUGGCUUACCAAGGCUUUGACGGGUAGCCGGCCUGAGAGGGUGACCGGCCACAUUGGGACUGAGAUACGGCCCAGACUCCUACGAGAGGCAGCAGUGGGGAAUAUUGCACAAUGGGCGGAAGCCUGAUGCAGCAACGCCGCGUGCGGGAUGACGGCCUUCGGGUUGUAAACCGCUUUCGCCUGUGACGAAGCGUGAGUGACGGUAAUGGGUAAAGAAGCACCGGCUAACUACGUG